CUUGUUUUGUUUGUUCAUCAUGUUUUGACCUCCAGACUCCCCUAUCUCAUCCCACCAACUCUGUCAGUCCACCAGGCCCCACAAUGCAGCCUCCACACCACUGCAGUAACAGCCACAUCUUCCCAUCACAAAGCUUCAGUACUAUCUCAAUGUGUUGAAGUACCAUCCAGGAUCCUGUGGCAACGUCAAUGUGAAACAGCAUUGACCCGUGAUCACCACCAACCAGGGCUCCACAGUGGACUUACAACACAUUGAGAUAGUACUGAAGCAUUGUGAUGGGAAGAUGUGGCUGUUACUGCAGUGGUGUGGAGGCUGCAUUGUGGGGCCUGCUGGACUGACAGAGUUGGUGGGAUGAGAUGGGGGAGUC
rnacentral:lncRNA from 1 species